GCUGGGUUGGCCGAGCGGUUAAGGCGCUGGCCCUGAGAGCCAGUGGGCUCUUGCCCUCGCAGGUUCGAAUCCUGCACCCAGCG
rnacentral:tRNA from 1 species